rnacentral:misc_RNA from 1 species
GAUGAAGAACGUAGCGAAAUGCGAUACGUAAUGUGAAUUGCAGAUCUCUCAGUGAACCAUCGAAUUUUUGAACGCACAUAGCGCCCGCCGGUCAUUCCGGCGGGCAUGCCUGUCCGAGCGUCGAUGACGCCGCUCGAGCCCCCGUGCUCGGUGUUGGGGCGCUAGGUCUCCCAGAGGCCUAGGCCCCCAAGUAGCAGUGCGCGGUCCGGCUGCGGGCCCCGGGUACAGUAACUUCACUGUUGAGAUGCCCUGGGAGCCGCUGGCUAGGUCAGCCGUAAAACCCCCGACAUAGGCCUUCCUGUCCGCCCCCGGCGGGGAGGGAGACCGCCUAAUGUUGACCUCGGAUCAGGUAGGACUACCCGCUGAACUUAAGCAUAUCAAUAAGCGGAGGA